UGCUUAGGAAAUUACAAGAGUUUUAGGAGAUCUGUGUCAAGAACUGAGGGGCAGACACCAAUAUAUAUAUUUUUAUUAUUUCACACAUGGCAUAUAUUUUUUUUGAAUUAUGA